rnacentral:rRNA from 1 species
AUGGCGCAGCGCUGGCGCUCGAAGGCGCGGCGCGACCCGGACCUGGACGACGCCGGCUCGCCCUCUCCCGCGCGGCCCCGCGCGCCCCCCAGCGACGACGAGGACGAGGCGGGCAACGAGGACCUCACCCUCGAGAUCGUCGCGCGGGCGCGGCGGCGCGGGGCCGCGGGAGGCCAGCCCGGGCUCGCCGAGGUGCUCCCCCUGUCCUCCGACGAGGAGGUGGACGAGGACGCCGUGGUGGAGCUCGGCGAGGCCGACCCCAGCAGGAGGAAGGACAAGAAGAAGAAGCAGCGCCGCAAGGAGAGGAGGAAGAAGCAGCGCAAGGAGGACGCCGCCGCCGCCGCCGCCGCCGACAAGGAGGAGCCUCAGGUUGCUGGCGCCCAGGAGGGACAAACUGGGACAGUGGAAUCAGUGCCCACCGAAAAUGGCGUUGAUGCCCCUGUAUCCGACAACACAGUUCUGCGGAAGCUUCUUCGUAUACCAAGAUACUUUGAUCCUGGGGAAACUAUAUUGGAGACUUGCUUUAACUGUGGUGAGGAAGGUCAUGUAGCUGUGAACUGCCCAAUGGAGAAGCGGAAGAAGCCUUGCUUCGUUUGUGGAUUGUUCGGACACAAUGCGAAGCAGUGCACGCAGGGUCAAGAGUGUUUCAUCUGCAAAAAAGGAGGUCAUAUGGCGAAAGAUUGCCCUGAUAAGCACACAAAGAAUACUCAGCAGUACACCACAUUGUGUUUGAGAUGCGGAGAAACCGGCCACGAUAUGUUUGGAUGUUCCAAUGAUUAUCCACCAGAUGAUGUCAAGGAAAUAAAAUGCUAUGUGUGUAACCAGAAUGGUCACCUCUGUUGCACCGACUUCUCUGAUAGUUGUUCAAAAGAAGUUACUUGUUAUAACUGUGCCCAAUCUGGUCAUACUGGUUUGGGAUGUGCCAAGCAACGUAGGGAGACAAGUGUUGCGACAACUCCGACCUUGUGCUACAAAUGUGGCGAAGAUGGUCACUUCGCACGUGGCUGCACAAAUAGUGCUAAGCCCGGCCGGUUCAAAGGCGAGUUGUCGUCGCAUGGUCGUAGAAAGGACAAAUGGAAAAAUGACUCUGGCCCUAGAUCAGCUCCUCAUGGAUCUCACAAAAGAAAAAGCCCCCUAUUCGAGGAUAGAUGGGAGACACCUCGUGGUAAAUCCAGAGCUAGGGGUGGUUGGAUUCCUGAGGACCAUGACGAUCUUCCAUCCAAGAAGUACAAAGGAAUUGGGUGGGACUCCCAAUCUACUCCUAAGAAGCCCUACAAUAAUCACCACCAUCGCUCCUCUGGCGGUGACUAUUCUACUCCUCAAGGACAAGAUUUUUCAUGGCACAACUCGCAAUAUUCACCAAGUGCGAGAAAACACGGCUCGUCUUCGUCAAGAUUCGCCAGCAACACCCAUCACCGCUUUGAAAGAAGUUAG